rnacentral:rRNA from 1 species
CCUACGGGAGGCAGCAGUGAGGAAUAUUGGUCAAUGGGCGGAAGCCUGAACCAGCCAAGUAGCGUGCAGGAUGACGGCCCUACGGGUUGUAAACUGCUUUUAUACGGGAAUAACGCGCCUUACGCGUAGGGCCUGGCAUGUACCGCAUGAAUAAGGAACGGCUAAUCCCGGGCCAGCAGCCGCGGUAAUUCGGAAGGUUCGGGCGUUAUCCGGGUUUAUUGGGUUUAAAGGGGUGUGUGGCCGCAUGUUAAGCGUGGUGUGAAAUGUCCGGGGUCAAGCCGGGCCUUGCAGCGCGAACUGGCGUGCUUGAGUCCGCGGAAAGCAGGCGGAAUUCGUGGUGUAGCGGUGAAAUGCAUAGAUAUGACGAAGAACCCCGAUUGCGAAGGCAGCUUGCUGCAGCGGAACUGACGCUGAGGCUCGAAAGCGCGGGUAUCGAACAGGAUUAGAUACCCCUGUAGUC